rnacentral:tRNA from 1 species
GCCCCGGUGGUGUAGUCCGGCCAAGCAUUUAGGGCUUUCACCCCUAAACUAGCCCCCUAGGGGAACGACCCGGGUCCGAAUCCCGGCCGGGGCA